AGUCGAGCGAGAUCUUCGGAUCUAGCGGCGGACGGGUGAGUAACGCGUGGGAACGUGCCUCUUGCUACGGAAUAGCCCUGGGAAACUGGGAGUAAUACCGUAUGUGCCCUUCGGGGGAAAGAUUUAUCGGCAAGAGAUCGGCCCGCGUUGGAUUAGGUAGUUGGUGGGGUAAUGGCCUACCAAGCCGACGAUCCAUAGCUGGUUUGAGAGGAUGAUCAGCCACACUGGGACUGAGACACGGCCCAGACUCCUACGGGAGGCAGCAGUGGGGAAUCUUAGACAAUGGGCGCAAGCCUGAUCUAGCCAUGCCGCGUGAGCGAUGAAGGCCUUAGGGUUGUAAAGCUCUUUCAGCGAGGAAGAUAAUGACUGUACUCGCAGAAGAAGCCCCGGCUAACUCCGUGCCAGCAGCCGCGGUAAUACGGAGGGGGCUAGCGUUGUUCGGAAUUACUGGGCGUAAAGCGCACGUAGGCGGACUGGAAAGUCAGGGGUGAAAUCCCGGGGCUCAACCCCGGAACUGCCUUUGAAACUCCCAGUCUUGAGUUCGAGAGAGGUGAGUGGAAUUCCGAGUGUAGAGGUGAAAUUCGUAGAUAUUCGGAGGAACACC
rnacentral:rRNA from 1 species